GAUGAAGGACGUUACUAACGACGAUAUGCUUUGGGGAGCUGUAAGUAAGCUUUGAUCCAGAGAUUUCCGAAUGGGGAAACCCAGCAUGAGUUAUGUCAUGUUAUCGAUAUGUGAAUACAUAGCAUAUCAGAAGGCACACCCGGAGAACUGAAACAUCUUAGUACCCGGAGGAAGAGAAAGAAAAUUCGAUUCCCUUAGUAGCGGCGAGCGAAACGGGAAGAGCCCAAACCAACAAAGGACGACAUUAGACGAAUCAUCUGGAAAGAUGAAUCAAAGAAGGUAAUAAUCCUGUAGUCGAAAAUGUUGUCUCUCUUGAGUGGAUCCUGAGUACGACGGAGCACGUGAAAUUCCGUCGGAAUCUGGGAGGACCAUCUCCUAAGGCUAAAUACUCUCUAGUGACCGAUAGUGAACCAGUACCGUGAGGGAAAGGUGAAAAGCACCCCGGAAGGGGAGUGAAAUAGAACCUGAAACCGUGUGCUUACAAGUAGUCAGAGCCCGUUAAUGGGUGA
rnacentral:rRNA from 1 species